rnacentral:rRNA from 1 species
AUUGAACGCUGGCGGCAGGCCUAACACAUGCAAGUCGAACGAGUGGCGGACGGGUGAGUAAUGUCUGGGAAACUGCCCGAUGGAGGGGGAUAACUACUGGAAACGGUAGCUAAUACCGCAUACCAUCGGAUGUGCCCAGAUGGUAUUAGCUAGUAGGUGGGGUAACGGGUCACCUAGGCGACGAUCCCUAGCUGGUCUGAGAGGAUGACCAGCCACUCUGGAACUGGGAAACGGUCCAGACUCCUACGUGAGGCAGCAGUGAGGAAUAUUGCACAAUUGGCGCAAGCCUGAUGCAGCCAUGCCGCGUGUAUGAAGAAGGCCUUCGGGUUGUAAAGUACUUUCAGCAGGGAGGCGUGACCCGCAGAAGAAGCACCGGCUAACUCCGUGCCAGCAGCCGCGGUAAUAC